AGGGUUUGAUUAUGGCUCAGGAUGAACGCUGGCGGCGUGCCUAACACAUGCAAGUCGAGCGAAGCACAUUGCUAUGAAUCUUUCGGGAGGAAGAGCGAAGUGACUUAGCGGCGGACGGGUGAGUAACGCGUGGGUAACCUGCCUCAUACAGGGGGAUAACAGUUAGAAAUGACUGCUAAUACCGCAUAAGCGCACAGGACCGCAUGGUCAAGUGUGAAAAACUGAGGUGGUAUGAGAUGGACCCGCGUCUGAUUAGCUAGUUGGUGAGGUAAGGGCUCACCAAGGCAACGAUCAGUAGCCGACCUGAGAGGGUGACCGGCCACAUUGGGACUGAGACACGGCCCAA
rnacentral:rRNA from 1 species